GUAAGUAAUUUCUUUGUAAUUUCAGGGAAUACUACUACUGCCUUCCCCUCCCCAGAGGGAAUCCUGCAAACUUCAGAGAGAAACAAGAAAAGACCUCUGACCGAUCAUCAGUGCUGGAGAUGGAGAAACGGGAGAGACGAGCCUUGGAGCGCAAAAUGUCAGAAAUGGAGGAAGAAAUGAAGGUGUUAACAGAACUGAAAUCCGACAACCAGAGGCUGAAAGAUGAAAAUGGUGCCCUCAUCAGAGUCAUCAGCAAACUGUCCAAGUAGGCUAGGCUCCAGAUUUAUGAGGAAAGAAAGGGACAGCAUUUGCUGCCCCCACCCCUCUUUUCCAGUCCUUGCCUUCCAACCAAAAGAAAUGGAUGUUUUGGUGGAAGGACACUUCUUUCUAUCACCCUCUUCAGUCACCUCUAUACACUCUACAUUUUCUCUGCACUUUCAAUGCCCUGUUCUUCCAAACCCCUAUCCCAAGUUUUAUGACAGUUUUAAUUGAAGCAUGAUUGUGGUAAUUCGAGCCAUCUGGAGAAUGCUCUGGGGAGUACACCAGGCUCA
rnacentral:sRNA from 1 species